GCCGCGUCCAAACUAGUCAAAAAGCUAGAUCGGCUCCUAAGCAAGGUGCAGGUGCAUGGAGAUGCUUCACUAUCCGGUGAGUGGUGUGGGCCAACGGUGACAUCCUAGCUUAAAAAGUCUCAGGGUGUGGGUUGGAUUCCCACCGCUGGCUACCCUUUUCGAUUCCUGCUUUCUGUUAAUUGGAUUACUGUUCCUCACGUCAGCAACCACCACUUGGCAGUUGUCAUUCAUACUUUGUUUGGAGGACCUAGGAAAUGGUGUCCUCAUCAACAGGGAUGUCCUUGGCCGUCUGCACAGUACAUUUAAGAAUUAUGCAUGCAAAUACGCACGCAAUCUCACUCGUGCCCUAUUUCAUACUGAGGAAUUGAAGAAUAGGUCGCUGUAUGGAAGGAAGUCUAAUGUAAAGAAGGAAGCAGAAGUCAAGCUCGCACUAGACGGCACACGGCUAGAGGCUAU